rnacentral:rRNA from 1 species
GACGAACGCUGGCGGCGUGCCUAAUACAUGCAAGUUGAGCGAUGAAGCUUGGUGCUUGCACCAAUUUGAAGAGCAGCGAACGGGUGAGUAACGCGUGGGGAAUCUGCCUUUGAGCGGGGGACAACAUUUGGAAACGAAUGCUAAUACCGCAUAACAACUUUAAACAUAAGUUUUAAGUUUGAAAGAUGCAAUUGCAUCACUCAAAGAUGAUCCCGCGUUGUAUUAGCUAGUUGGUGAGGUAAAGGCUCACCAAGGCGAUGAUACAUAGCCGACCUGAGAGGGUGAUCGGCCACAUUGGGACGGAGACACGGCCCAAACUCCUACGGGAGGCAGCAGUAGGGAAUCUUCGGCAAUGGACGAAAGUCUGACCGAGCAACGCCGCGUGAGUGAAGAAGGUUUUCGGAUCGUAAAACUCUGUUGGUAGAGAAGAACGUUGGUGAGAGUGGAAAGCUCAUCAAGUGACGGUAACUACCCAGAAAGGGACGGCUAACUACGUG